GGCUUGUUAGCUUAAUUAGUAGAGUGCUGCACUAUUAUUGCAGAGGUCAGUGGUUUGAAUCCAGUACAGGCCU
rnacentral:tRNA from 1 species